rnacentral:rRNA from 1 species
AGCGAACGCUGGCGGCAGGCUUAACACAUGCAAGUCGAACGGGCAUCUUCGGAUGUCAGUGGCAGACGGGUGAGUAACACGUGGGAACGUACCCUUCGGUUCGGAAUAACUCAGGGAAACUUGAGCUAAUACCGGAUACGUCCUUUUGGGGAAAGGUUUACUGCCGAAGGAUCGGCCCGCGUCUGAUUAGCUUGUUGGUGGGGUAACGGCCUACCAAGGCGACGAUCAGUAGCUGGUCUGAGAGGAUGAUCAGCCACACUGGGACUGAGACACGGCCCAGACUCCUACGGGAGGCAGCAGUGGGGAAUAUUGGACAAUGGGCGCAAGCCUGAUCCAGCCAUGCCGCGUGAGUGAUGAAGGCCUUAGGGUUGUAAAGCUCUUUUGUCCGGGACGAUAAUGACGGUACCGGAAGAAUAAGCCCCGGCUAACUUCGUG